rnacentral:misc_RNA from 1 species
GAUGAAGAACGCAGCGAAAUGCGAUACGUAAUGUGAAUUGCAGAAUUCAGUGAAUCAUCGAAUCUUUGAACGCAUAUUGCGCUCUCUGGUAUUCCGGAGAGCAUGCUUGUUUGAGUAUCAGUAAACACCUCAACUUCCUUAUCUUUUUUUGAAAUGGGAGUUGGACUUGAGUGAUCCCAACGCUUUUCCUCACCGAAAAGUGGCGGGUUACUUGAAAUGCAGGUGCAGCUGGACUUUUCUCUGAGCUAUAAGCAUAUCUAUUUAGUCUGCCUAAAAAACAGAUUAUUACCUUUGCUGCAGCUAACAUAAAGGAGAUUAGUUCUUGUGCUGACUGAUGCAGGAUUCACAAAGACAGCUUCGGCCGACUUUGUAAACUCGAUCUCAAAUCAAGUAAGACUACCCGCUGAACUUAAGCAUAUCAAUAAGCGGAGGA